GGCCUAUGUUAGAUGAUUGACACCAUCCGUGAAUUUUAAUCUAAUAUAUACAGGUGUGUUCGACAGAUACGAGGACAGAUUAGCCGUUAUCACCUGGUGUUAAUUACUGUCGGUAUUACACCCCACGUGCUCACGUAAACAUCUCUCAAAUGGAUUUAUAACUACUAAACUUUUAUAAAUUUGUGGAUAUACCUGUUAUUAUGGAUGGAAAUCAUCAACAUCACGACAGCGGUCAAACAAGUGGACAUGUAAGUGGUGUUAAUGGAAAUGGACAUAUAGAACAUAACGGUCAAGGAUCAAAUCAUAUGGGAUCUAUGGGGCAUGGCGGUCAUCAUAAAAUGGUGAUGCCGCAUGGUCAUUCAACGUUCCGGCUGUUUACUACAUCGCCGAUGUUAUUCCAAGCAUGGCCGACAUCUACCAUGGCAGGUUUAGUGAUGGCUAUAAUAUCAACAGCAGCGUUGGCCUUUAUAUACGAGGGUUUGAGGUACUACGUCUAUGUUCACAGUGCUCUGGACAAAAGAGGUGAAAAAUG